GACGAACGCUGGCGGCGUGCUUAACACAUGCAAGUCGAACGGAAAGGCCCUGCUUUUGUGGGGUGCUCGAGUGGCGAACGGGUGAGUAACGCGUGAGUAACCUGCCCUUGACUUUGGGAUAACUUCAGGAAACUGGGGCUAAUACCGGAUAGGAGCUCCUGCUGCAUGGUGGGGGUUGGAAAGUUUCGGCGGUUGGGGAUGGACUCGCGGCUUAUCAGCUUGUUGGUGGGGUAGUGGCUUACCAAGGCUUUGACGGGUAGCCGGCCUGAGAGGGUGACCGGCCACAUUGGGACUGAGAUAAGGCCCAGACUCCUACGGGAGGCAGCAGUGGGGAAUAUUGCACAAUGGGCGGAAGCCUGAUGCAGCAACGCCGCGUGCGGGAUGACGGCCUUCGGGUUGUAAACCGCUUUCGCCUGUGACGAAGCGUGAGUGACGGUAAUGGGUAAAGAAGCACCGGCUAACUACGUG
rnacentral:rRNA from 1 species